GUGCUUGAUUCAGCAGCACAUAUACUAAAAUUGGAACAAUACAGAGAUUAGCAUGGCCCUGGUGCAAGAAUGACAUGCAAACUUGUGAAGCAUUCCAUAUUUUU
ensembl:snRNA U6 U6 spliceosomal RNA